CCUACGGGUGGCAGCAGUCGAGAAUCAUUCACAAUGGGGGAAACCCUGAUGGUGCGACGCCGCGUGGGGGAAUGAAGGUCUUCGGAUUGUAAACCCCUGUCAUGUGGGAGCAAAUUUAAAAGAUAGUACCACAAGAGGAAGAGACGGCUAACUCUGUGCCAGCAGCCGCGGUAAUACAGAGGUCUCAAGCGGUGUUCGGAAUCACUGGGCGUAAAGCGUGCGUAGGCUGUUUCGUAAGUCGUGUGUGAAAGGCGCGGGCUCAACCCGCGGACGGCACAUGAUACUGCGAGACGAGAGUAAGGGAGGGGGAACCGGAAUUCUCGGUGUAGCAGUGAAAUGCGUAGAUAUCGAGAGGAACACUCGUGGCGAAGGCGGGUUCCUGGACAUUAACUGACGCUGAGGCACGAAGGCCAGGGGAGCGAAAGGGAUUAGAUACCCGAGUAGUC
rnacentral:rRNA from 1 species